AUUGAACGCUGGCGGCAGGCCUAACACAUGCAAGUCGAACGGUAACAGGAAGAAGCUUGCUUCUUUGCUGACGAGUGGCGGACGGGUGAGUAAUGUCUGGGAAACUGCCUGAUGGAGGGGGAUAACUACUGGAAACGGUAGCUAAUACCGCAUAACGUCGCAAGACCAAAGAGGGGGACCUUCGGGCCUCUUGCCAUCGGAUGUGCCCAGAUGGGAUUAGCUAGUAGGUGGGGUAACGGCUCACCUAGGCGACGAUCCCUAGCUGGUCUGAGAGGAUGACCAGCCACACUGGAACUGAGACACGGUCCAGACUCCUACGGGAGGCAGCAGUGGGGAAUAUUGCACAAUGGGCGCAAGCCUGAUGCAGCCAUGCCGCGUGUAUGAAGAAGGCCUUCGGGUUGUAAAGUACUUUCAGCGGGGAGGAAGGGAGUAAAGUCAAUACCUUUACUCAUUGACGUUACCCGCAGAAGAAGCACCGGCUAACUCCGUG
rnacentral:rRNA from 1 species